UACGUAGGGGGCAAGCGUUGUCCGGAAUCAUUGGGCGUAAAGAGCGUGUAGGCGGCCCGAUAAGUCCGCUGUGAAAGUCCAGGGCUCAACCCUGGGAUGCCGGUGGAUACUGUCGGGCUCGAGUCCGGAAGAGGCGAGUGGAAUUCCUGGUGGUAGCGGUGAAAUGCGCAGAUAUCAGGAGGAACACCAUGGCGAAGGCAGCUCGCUGGACGGUACUGACGCUGAGGCGACGAAGACGUGGGGAGCAAACAGG
rnacentral:rRNA from 1 species